GUGAGGAAUAUUGGUCAAUGGGCGGGAGCCUGAACCAGCCAAGUCGCGUGAAGGAAGAAGGAUCUAUGGUUCGUAAACUUCUUUUGCAGGGGAAUAAAGUGCAGGACGUGUCCUGUUUUGUAUGUACCCUGAGAAUAAGGAUCGGCUAACUCCGUGCCAGCAGCCGCGGUAAUACGGAGGAUCCGAGCGUUAUCCGGAUUUAUUGGGUUUAAAGGGUGCGCAGGCGGGUUGAUAAGUCAGCGGUGAAAGUUUGCAGCUUAACUGUAAAAUUGCCGUGGAAACUGGCGAUCUUGAGUGCAAAUGAGGUAAGCGGAAUGUGUUGUGUAGCGGUGAAAUGCUUAGAUAUAACACAGAACACCGAUUGCGAAGGCAGCUUACUGGGAUGCAACUGACACUGAUGCACGAAAGCGUGGGUAUCAAACAGGAUUAGAAACCCUGGUAGUCC
rnacentral:rRNA from 1 species